rnacentral:rRNA from 1 species
UACGUAGGAGGCAAGCGUUGUCCGGAAUUACUGGGUGUAAAGCGCGUGUAGGCGGCAGGCCAAGUCUGUGGUGAAAUCGCUCGGCUCAACUGGGCGGGGUCCAUGGAAACUGGUCGGCUGGAGGACGGUAGAGGUGAGUGGAAUUCCCGGUGUAGUGGUGAAAUGCGUAGAUAUCUGGAGGAAUACCGGUGGCGAAGGCGGCAUCCUGGACCGGCAUUGACGCUGAGUGAGCGAAAGCCAGGGGAGCAAACGGG